UACGUAGGGUGCGAGCGUUUAAUCGGAAUUACUGGGCGUAAAGCGUGCGCAGGCGGUUCGUUAUGUCCGAUGUGAAAGCCCCGAGCUUAACUUGGGAAUGGCAUUGGAAACUGGCGGGCUGGAGUGGCGGCAGAGGGGGGUGGGAAUUCCACGUGUAGCAGUGAAAUGCGUAGAGAUGUGGAGGAACACCGAUGGCGAAGGCAGCCCCCUGGGCCGACACUGACGCUCAGGCACGAAAGCGUGGGGAGCAAACAGG
rnacentral:rRNA from 1 species